AUACGGAGGAUGCGAGCGUUAUCCGGAUUUAUUGGGUUUAAAGGGUGCGCAGGCGGGCGAUUAAGUCAGCGGUGAAAGGCUCGGGCUCAACCGGAGCAGUGCCGUUGAUACUGGUUGUCUUGAAUGCGGUCAAGGCCGGCGGAAUGUGGCGUGUAGCGGUGAAAUGCAUAGAUAUGCCACAGAACACCGAUAGCGAAGGCAGCUGGCCGGGCCUGCAUUGACGCUGAGGCACGAAAGCGUGGGGAUCGAACAGGAUUAGAUACCCUGGUAGUCCACGCUGUAAACGAUGGACACUCGUUGUCGGCGACAGACAGUCGGCGGCCAAGCGAAAGUGAUAAGUGUCCCACCUGGGGAGUACGGUCGCAAGGCUGAAACUCAAAUGAAUUGACGGG
rnacentral:rRNA from 1 species